ACACGCAUGCGCAGUUAAAAUAAUGUUACGCGCAUGCGCGGUGCUGUGUUGUUGUUGAUGAACAAUCGCACGUGCUUUGGUAUUUCAAGAAGAAUCUGCCGAAAAACGAAGGAUUAUUUAACAACAGUGAUUGUAUAAAGAUUUGACUGGAUUUGGCAAGAUGCCCUUGCUCAUUAAAGAAGAUGGAGAUGUGGCUUUUAUCAGACUGUUGACAUGCCAGCUUUUUCACUAUGUUGUUAGUAAAGCAUCUUUCAGAGAAAAGGCUCAUGUAGUCUGGCUUGACAGUGUUGUCAACUGGAACACAUUCUCCGGGGUGUAGAGAUUUAUUUACAGACUGUCCACCAGGUCGAGUUGGAGGAAGGGUGUCCCAGGGAUGAAUUGUUCAUCUAUUCUGCAUCAGUAAAGCAGUGGUGGCGUGGCACUGACUUUAAACUAUUUAAGAUCAAACUGUGACAAAAGCUUUACCUGUGCUGACUGCAGUCAGUUAUAUGUGACCCUGCCUGUGAAAAAACAGUAUAAGUCUUGAAAUGUAAUUAUGAUAUAAUGAGCAUCAAAGUGUUAUUUUCAUUACUUUCACAUUGAUUUUGACAUUUGACAUGAUUUUACUCAGUCAACCCCACACACCCAGCCAACUUUGAACUUUUGCCCUUUGGCCGGCGCUACAAAGCACUGAACACUAUAAACAACAGUUUGUUCCUCAGGUUAUAUACCUAAACAAUUAAAGCACCCAUAACUUCCACACCUGUCAUAACUGUAUAUUGUUUAUAAUCACCACAUACUGUACAUCUGAAACUACCAUUCUAAACUAUGCUACUGUAAAUAUCACCUAUUAUCUAUCUGUACAACAACAGCAUCUGAACAUCCAUACAGGCAUCACUACACACAAUUGUAAAAAAGGAGAAUAUAUAUAUAUAUAUAUAUAUAUAUAUAU